CUCAUCCAGCAGCGGUACCCUGAGCUGGAGUGCGUGGCCCGGUCACGGCUCAUCGCGCGGCGCAUCCUCAACUCGACCCUGUCCGCCCUCAACGAUCUCCACGAGAGCGGACUCGUCGAGGAGCACCACUACGCCGAGCUCGUAACGUGCCUGGAGCAGCUCAUCCGGGACCUGAACCGGCUUCCCAGCUCGGUUUCGGUGCCCGAGACCACCAUCAGCUUCCUUCUCAGCGUGCCCUGGCUGCCCGCAGAGAGCGUGCCCCGCCUAAAGGAGCUUUACUGCUGGAAGUAUGACAAGGGCAAGCAGCUUGUGUCGUACGGGAAGCCGCACCAAGCCAUCCACAUCGUCUUC
rnacentral:lncRNA from 1 species